rnacentral:lncRNA from 1 species
AAAAAGGGAAGUCCUCAGGAUUUGGAUCCUGGGUAAAAGAAGGCCCCAAAAUGAGCCGAGUAGGGUCCGAAGAAAGAUAUGGUUUGAGCAAAGUAUAAUCCAGCGAAGGACGAGUAGGCAAUGGUGGAAGAAGCGCCAUUGUUGGAAGCGAAAAAUAUACGAAGAAGAACGUAAAAGACAAAGAGGAGAAGAAGAGGAAAAGAUAGAAGAGACAAAAAGAAACUUAGGAAGAAAGAAAAGGCCACCCGUCACACCAGUUAUGAGUUCCGAGGUCGGCUAUAAUGAUGAAUGGACGGCGGUAAUUAAGAUGACCUAAUUAAUGCCGCAUAUGAGACAAAAUUGAGAAUGUGAUCAAGGCCGUGGAGAAGAGAAUCAACGGCCAAGGUUAAAACCGUAAAAGAUUGUGUCACGAAUCGCUGCAGAUCUUGAUUGGACCGAGAAACACGCCUCGGAUCAAGCUUGCUUUCGGCAAUAGGAAAUUGAAGAUGGCGCCAGCUACCGAAGAGUCGCUUCGAAAGCUGCCGAGGGGGCAAUUGUUGGACCAAUCCGGCGCGGACAGUUGGCACACCGAGUUCAUAUCCAUAUUCAGGAUUCGAAACGUUGGACCGGGAUCACGGAAGAAAUGCGCUAAGAGAUAUUAGCCGUGUUUGUUCAAAAACGUGGCAACCGCAAGCGGUUAUGAGCGGUUCCAAACGGCGGUUCCAAUCGGCCGAACGUGGUCCUCCAAAUCCGGAGAAGAUGGCCGAUCGUGCAAUAACAACAAAUGAACGCAAGGGCAAAUCUAUAAAUAGGCCUGCAGUACCCUGAAAACGGGUCUUCGCCCCUGCGCACAAAAGACCACCUUUAUUUUCCUGCAUCUUUCUUUCCUGC